AUUGAACGCUGGCGGCAGGCCUAACACAUGCAAGUCGAGCGGCGCGGGGGACGGGUGAGUAAUGCCUAGGAAUCUGCAUGGUCGUGGGGGAUAACGUCAGGAAACGGGCGCUAAUACCGCAUACUAUCAGAUUAGCCUAGGUCGGAUUAGCUAGUUGGUGUGGGAAAGGCAUACAAAGGCGACGAUCACUAACUGGGCUGAGAGGAUGAUCAGUCACACUGGAACUGAGACACGGUCCAGACUCCUACGGGAGGCAGCAGUGGGGAAUAUUGGACAAUGGGCGAAAGCCUGAUCCAGCCAUGCCGCGUGUGUGAGGAAGGUCUUCGGAUUGUAAAGCACUUUAAGUUGGGAGGCGUUACCCACAGAAUAAGCACCGGCUAACUUCGUGCCAGCAGCCGCGGUAAUAC
rnacentral:rRNA from 1 species